rnacentral:rRNA from 1 species
GAUGAACGCUAGCGGCAGGCUUAACACAUGCAAGUCGAGGGGUAGAAGGAGCUUGCUCCUUUGAGACCGGCGCACGGGUGCGUAACGCGUAUGCAAUCUACCUUUUGCAGAGGGAUAGCCCAGAGAAAUUUGGAUUAAUACCUCAUAGUAUGUGAGGAUGGCAUCAUUUUCACAUUAAAGUCACAACGGCAAAAGAUGAGCAUGCGUCCCAUUAGCUAGUUGGUAAGGUAACGGCUUACCAAGGCUACGAUGGGUAGGGGUCCUGAGAGGGAGAUCCCCCACACUGGUACUGAGACACGGACCAGACUCCUACGGGAGGCAGCAGUGAGGAAUAUUGGACAAUGGGCGCAAGCCUGAUCCAGCCAUGCCGCGUGCAGGAUG